rnacentral:rRNA from 1 species
GUGAGGAAUAUUGGUCAAUGGGCGAGAGCCUGAACCAGCCAAGUCGCGUGAAGGAUGAAGGUUUUAUGAAUUGUAAACUUCUUUUGCAGGGGAAUAAAGUACGGUACGUGUACCGUUUUGUAUGUACUCUGCGAAUAAGGAUCGGCUAACUCCGUGCCAGCAGCCGCGGUAAUACGGAGGAUCCAAGCGUUAUCCGGAUUUAUUGGGUUUAAAGGGUGCGUAGGUGGUUUGAUAAGUCAGCGGUGAAAGUUUGCAGCUUAACUGUAAAAAUGCCGUUGAAACUGUCGGACUUGAGUGUAAAUGAGGUAGGCGGAAUGCGUGGUGUAGCGGUGAAAUGCAUAGAUAUCACGCAGAACUCCGAUUGCGAAGGCAGCUUACUAAGCUACAACUGACACUGAAGCACGAAAGCGUGGGGAUCAAACAGGAUUAGAUACCCGAGUAGUCC